rnacentral:rRNA from 1 species
AUUGAACGCUGGCGGCAGGCUUAACACAUGCAAGUCGAGCGGAGAUGAGGUGCUUGCACCUUAUCUUAGCGGCGGACGGGUGAGUAAUGCUUAGGAAUCUGCCAUUUAGUGGGGGACAACAUUCCGAAAGGAAUGCUAAUACCGCAUACGUCCUACGGGAGAAAGCAGGGGAUCUUCGGACCUUGCGCUAAAUGAUGAGCCUAGGUCGGAUUAGCUAGUUGGUGGGGUAAAGGCCUACCAAGGCGACGAUCUGUAGCGGGUCUGAGAGGAUGAUCCGCCACACUGGGACUGAGACACGGCCCAGACUCCUACGGGAGGCAGCAGUGGGGAAUAUUGGACAAUGGGCGGAAGCCUGAUCCAGCCAUGCCGCGUGUGUGAAGAAGGCCUUUUGGUUGUAAAGCACUUUAAGCGAGGAGGAGGCUACCUAGAUUAAUACUCUGGGAUAGUGGACGUUACUCGCAGAAUAAGCACCGGCUAACUCUGUGCCAGCCGCCGCAGUAACAC